AAUGAAUGAGAAGGAGUGUUUAUUUAUAGCUGAAAUUGGUUGUGCCUCAUGCUUCCCUCGUGUGCAUGGCAUUUGAAAAUGGAUAUGCAUGGGCCUGUACAGGUGCAUGUGAGGCCCAAUGAUGGUUGCAAAAUCAUACUGAGUUCAUUUGAAGAGUAAUUGGACGUGCAUUUUGGAGGGGACUAGCUUGCACAUUAAGUUUCAUCAUAAAAAUGCCAAAUUGUACAUAAAUGAAUAGUUCUUCAAAACUCCCAAAUGGUAAAUCCAAAAUAGCAUUGUGAUAAUGGUUGGAAAGCCCUUGAAAUAAGGAACAAGAGUCAUGUUGGGCAAAAAUUCAUUUGGCAUUUGGAAAUUAAUGAAAACUGGCUGUGAAAAUCCAAGUAGAAAACAUGUUUAAGUCACCUUUGAAAAGUUUCACCAAAAGUAAGCCUAAUCAAACCCCUCUGUUUUCAUGACGCAAGCUUCAAAUGGAAAACCCUCCAACAUAAAAGUUGUAUAUCAUUUCAAGGGAAUCAAUUUAGACUCAUAGUUUGCAUCAUUUGGAUCUUUUAUGACAAAGUUAUGAGCAUUUGAA
rnacentral:lncRNA from 1 species